rnacentral:rRNA from 1 species
GAGCAACCUGCCCCUGACUCUGGGAUAAGCGCUGGAAACGGCGUCUAAUACUGGAUAUGUGACGUGACCGCAUGGUCUGCGUUUGGAAAGAUUUUUCGGUUGGGGAUGGGCUCGCGGCCUAUCAGCUUGUUGGUGAGGUAAUGGCUCACCAAGGCGUCGACGGGUAGCCGGCCUGAGAGGGUGACCGGCCACACUGGGACUGAGACACGGCCCAGACUCCUACGGGAGGCAGCAGUGGGGAAUAUUGCACAAUGGGCGGAAGCCUGAUGCAGCAACGCCGCGUGAGGGAUGACGGCCUUCGGGUUGUAAACCUCUUUUAGCAGGGAAGAAGCGAGAGUGACGGUACCUGCAGAAAAAGCGCCGGCUAACUACGUGCCAGCAGCCGCGGUAAUACGUAGGGCGCAAGCGUUAUCCGGAAUUAUUGGGCGUAAAGAGCUCGUAGGCGGUCUGUCGCGUCUGCUGUGAAAUCCCGAGGCUCAACCUCGGGCUUGCAGUGGGUACGGGCAGACUAGAGUGCGGUAGGGGAGAUUGGAAUUCCUGGUGUAGCGGUGGAAUGCGCAGAUAUCAGGAGGAACACCGAUGGCGAAGGCAGAUCUCUGGGCCGUAACUGACGCUGAGGAGCGAAAGGGGGAGAACA